AUUGAACGCUGGCGGCAGGCUUAACACAUGCAAGUCGAGCGGAGAUGAGGUGCUUGCACCUUAUCUUAGCGGCGGACGGGUGAGUAAUGCUUAGGAAUCUGCCUAUUAGUGGGGGACAACAUUCCGAAAGGAAUGCUAAUACCGCAUACGUCCUACGGGAGAAAGCAGGGGAUCUUCGGACCUUGCGCUAAUAGAUGAGCCUAAGCCGGAUUAGCUAGUUGGUGGGGUAAAGGCCUACCAAGGCGACGAUCUGUAGCGGGUCUGAGAGGAUGAUCCGCCACACUGGGACUGAGACACGGCCCAGACUCCGACGGGAGGCAGCAGUGGGGAAUAUUGGACAAUGGGCGGAAGCCUGAUCCAGCCAUGCCGCGUGUGUGAAGAAGGCCUUUUGGUUGUAAAGCACUUUAAGCGAGGAGGAGGCUACCUAGAUUAAUACUCUGGGAUAGUGGACGUUACUCGCAGAAUAAGCACCGGCUAACUCUGUGCCAGCCGCCGCCGUAAUAC
rnacentral:rRNA from 1 species